GGGGAGAGCAAUGCGGGAGGUGAUGGGGUCAGUGGAGCGAGCCAGGACCCUGCCCUCGUCCCGCGCCUGCCCAGGAGUUCCUUGGGGCCAGUGUCGCAACCCCUGUGCACUCCGGAGCCUUUGCCUGGCCAGCCCUCACCACGGUCCCACCGGGUCAUCCCUCAUCCCUCGAAAGCGCCAGCCCAGCUCCAAGCCCUCCUCCAUGCUGGGCAGAGUCCAGCGCAGGCGCCUCCCACCCCAGCGAACUUUGGCCCCAGCCCGGGAGCAGCUCAGACGGAGGACCACGCAGGAAGGCGUGCAGAGAGACUGCUGGACCUCGAGGUUGAGGGAAACAGGAUGGCCUUUCCGCUCCCACCCUGUGAGCUGGGACAGCGACACUGACAAGUAGGACCUAGGGCUUGCCAGACAGGCGCUGUGCCGCUGAGCUAAAUCCCCAGCCCAACCUUGUGGUCUUGAACCAUCACUCGGAAACCCCGCUGCUGGACGUCACAUCUGCAAGCCUGGGUGGUCGGACUGGCCUGGAGGAUCUGUCGCCUCCACAGGACAGAGGGACGCUGCAAUUUCUACACAGGUGCUAAGCCUCCGAUACACAUUCCACAUGUGUCUCCAUCUACCUAAAGGUCCACAGAUCCUGCUCCAGAGUCACUUUCCUCAACCUCAAACGGCUACAGGCGGGGGCGGCCACACCACACACCCUCCCCCCCCUCCCCCGCAGAUAUUGCUGUUUUUCUUUUCAUGCCGGAGUCCCCCGCCCGCCCCACCUCCCAGCCCCAACGGCAGGGGCGGUGCCCACAGGCCGCCCCGCCCCCCGCCUCGGCCAAUCAGCGGCUGCCGCACACCCGCGCCAGGACCAACCGGCGGCAGCCCGCAGCCCCGCCCCCUCACCUACAGCAGGCGGCCCGGGAUCCGCACCUCUGUGCCUUCCUUCCCUAAACCCCGGAGGCCCGGCUGCAGCCCCGUCUCCCUCUGACCCAGCUGUCUCAACCUUGCUUCCCUGGGGCGGCCACCUUCUCACUGCACCGGCCCGGAUCUCGAAGCUCCUUUUCCCUUAGGGCCAAGAAUAAAGAGGCCUUUUUGCUUCUCUUCUAUUAUCUCCUAA